rnacentral:rRNA from 1 species
GAUGAACGCUAGCGGCAGGCUUAAUACAUGCAAGUCGUGGGGCAGCAGCUCUGUAGCAAUACAGAGGCUGGCGACCGGCAAACGGGUGCGGAACACGUACGCAACCUUCCUUUAACUGGAGAAUAGCCCCUCGAAAGAGGGAUUAAUACUCCGUAACAUCCCGAGAUGGCAUCAUUUUGGGAUUAUAGCUCCGGCGGUUAAAGAUGGGCGUGCGCCUGAUUAGAUAGUUGGCGGGGUAAUAGCCCACCAAGUCUGCGAUCAGUAACUGGUGUGAGAGCACGACCAGUCACACGGGCACUGAGACACGGGCCC